rnacentral:rRNA from 1 species
GAUGAACGCUGGCGGCGUGCCUAAUACAUGCAAGUCGAGCGAACAGACGAGGAGCUUGCUCCUCUGACGUUAGCGGCGGACGGGUGAGUAACACGUGGAUAACCUACCUAUAAGACUGGGAUAACUUCGGGAAACCGGAGCUAAUACCGGAUAAUAUAUUGAACCGCAUGGUUCAAUAGUGAAAGACGGUUUUGCUGUCACUUAUAGAUGGAUCCGCGCCGCAUUAGCUAGUUGGUAAGGUAACGGCUUACCAAGGCAACGAUGCGUAGCCGACCUGAGAGGGUGAUCGGCCACACUGGAGCUGAGACACGGUCCAGACUCCUACGGGAGGCAGCAGUAGGGAAUCUUCCGCAAUGGGCGAAAGCCUGACGGAGCAGCGCCGCGUGAGUGAUGAAGGUCUUCGGAUCGUAAAACUCUGUUAUUAGGGAAGAACAAAUGUGUAAGUAACUAUGCACGUCUUGACGGUACCUAAUCAGAAAGCCACGGCUAACUACGUG